rnacentral:sRNA from 1 species
UUACGGUGUCUUUGAAGCUUCAAAACUA